UACGUAGGGGGGCGAGCGUUGUCCGGAUUUAUUGGGCGUAAAGAGCUCGUAGGCGGUUUGGUAAGUCGGAUGUGAAAUCUCCAGGCUCAACCUGGAGGGGUCAUUCGAGACUGCUAUGACUAGAGUUCGGUAGAGGAGUGUGGAAUUCCUGGUGGAGCGGUGAAAUGCGCAGAUAUCAGGAGGAACACCCGUAGCGAAGGCGGCACUCUGGGCCGAUACUGACGCUGAGGAGCGAAAAGCGUGGGGGAGCGAACAGG
rnacentral:rRNA from 1 species